AUCUCUCGUUUAUUGUGAAAUGACUAUGACGCCCCUAAAAUACACAAAAUACUUAAUUAAAAUAAAACACACAUAAUUAAAUUACAAGAACCUUAAAUACAUAAAAGUAAGGGUUGCUAGUAAGACUUGAAAUGUAAAAUAACGAUUUUCUCCUUUAUAAAUAUACAUUUUCUAACACUCAACACACCGCCCAACCAGCUUAUUGCUAGUCCCUAGCAAAUAAAGCGAAAAUAAAAUUCAAACACAAUUUUUUUUUUUAACAAUCUUGUUUAUUCAAUCAGACUAAUGAUAGCAAUCAAAUAAAAAUAUAA
rnacentral:lncRNA from 1 species